CUAUUGACGUAAGGCAAGAAUUUUAUUCCAUAAAGCUCAUUGGUAGAAAUCUAUACGCUUUAUUUUCACAUGUAAAAAAGCCUACACAGCCCUAUAAUCAA